AGUGAACGCUGGCGGCAGGCCUAAUACAUGCAAGUCGAACGGCAGCACAGUGGAGCUUGCUCCAUGGGUGGCGAGUGGCGGACGGGUGAGGAAUACAUGGGAAUCUGCCCAGUCGUGGGGGAUAACGUAGGGAAACUUACGCUAAUACCGCAUGCGCCCUUCGGGGGAAAGCCGGGGACCGUAAGGCCUGGCGCGAUUGGAUGAGCCCAUGUCGGAUUAGCUAGUUGGCGGGGUAACGGCCCACCAAGGCGACGAUCCGUAGCUGGUCUGAGAGGAUGAUCAGCCACACUGGAACUGAGACACGGUCCAGACUCCUACGGGAGGCAGCAGUAGGGAAUAUUGGACAAUGGGCGCAAGCCUGAUCCAGCCAUGCCGCGUGAGUGAAGAAGGCCCUCGGGUUGUAAAGCUCUUUUGUCCGGAAAGGAAAACACUGGGUUAAUACCCCGGUGUCCUGACGGUACCGGAAGAAUAAGCACCGGCUAACUUCGUGCCAGCAGCCGAC
rnacentral:rRNA from 1 species